rnacentral:misc_RNA from 1 species
GUGUUGUCCUGCUCUCGAGCACCUCCGCUUUUUCUUGCUUGAUUCCGGGUUCUUUGCUGAAGAAGGAUAUGAAGCGCCAACAAGACUUCCGUUUAAUCUUAACAGCGUCAAACGCUUUUACCUGCCUGACAUUAAGCUGGUCGAAUCACACAAGCUUUCUUAUGCUCUAUGCUUAAUAAGAAGUUCCCCGUAUCUAGAAUAUCUCGAAAUACAGGUUCAUGACUAUAGAUAUGACGAUGAAGAUGAAGAUGACGAGGAUGAACCUAUUCCAG